rnacentral:rRNA from 1 species
GACGUAGGGCGCGAGCGUUGUCCGGAUUUAUUGGGCGUAAAGAGCUCGUAGGCGGCUUGUUGCGUCGACUGUGAAAACCCGCGGCUUAACUGCGGGCUUGCAGUUGAUACGGGCAGGCUAGAGUUCGGUAGGGGAGACUGGAAUUCCUGGUGUAGCGGUGAAAUGCGCAGAUAUCGGGAGGAACACCGGUGGCGAAGGCGGUUCUCUGGGCCUGACCUGACGCUGAGGAGCGAAAGCGUGGGGAGCGAACAGG